rnacentral:lncRNA from 1 species
CUUGGAACACAAUACCCUCCUGGCAGGGAGCCGAGGGAGAGAGCGCCAAGCCGAGAAGUCGAGAAGCAAUUGAGAUAAUUGAGGACCCGGAUUAAUCCAGGUUCUCUUCCGCUUAGCCUGGUGUCAGGCAGGCUGUCAGGCAGGCGGAAGGCACAGCUCAGAACCAUGCCCUUCCAGGCUCCGAUUUCACACUCUGGGCGGCUUGUCUGUCUGUCUGUUUCCUUAAUCCAGAUCUCACUUUCAUGAACCACAGGGGACCGGGGUGGGGGUGGGGGGACACUAUAAUGUUCCUGCCACAGGGCACCAGGCACCUGGGCAAAUUGAGGACAAGGCUCAAAACACCUUGUACUGAUCAGGGUAGUGAUUUUGUGACCUCAUAACCAACAGGCUUGAGUCUGUGAGACCCCCACCUCCAACUGAUUGAUUGUGCAUAGGAAGCUGGCAGCACUCAGAGCCCUGCUACGGGAGGAAGGUGGGAUUGUAAGCCAACCAGGGGGAAGGCAGGAACCAGUGGAGGGACUGCAAGAGAGGUGUCAGCCCCAAGCAUGCUGUAUACAUGAAUUUCAGGUCUUCACUAUGUGGCUCCAGUCAUAGCCCAACAAGAAAGGUUUCAGCAGAGAUUUCAGCACAGACAUUAAGGGAGAGGGCGCAGAAAGCAAGUAUGCACACCAGCACACUGACGGGGCUUCCUGAGAGAUGCUCACCAGGACCAGCUUCGUAAAGAAAUCUCAGCGUUCCAAAUUCCCUUUAAAAAACAUAUUUAUUCCAUUAUACAGGGUUGUGUAAGAUAUUUCC